rnacentral:lncRNA from 1 species
UCGAGAGUAUAUGGACGCUUUUUGAUAGUUAACUUGAUAUUUAUGCUUAAGGAUUUUUAGAAAGUUACCCAAAAGAGUAGGCUAGAACAUCUUCAAAUAGAGAAACAUAUUCAAAAACAACAAUAUUGAUAGGCUAAAACAUAGGCUAAAACUUGUUUUGGGCCUUUAGCCCAUAUCCCCAGGUUCUGAAAUUCUAACAAUACAAUAUUGAUAAAGGAAAAAAGGGCUUAGACCCAAAAAUAACAAAAUACGUAGUUCAGGGAAACAAAUUGGGCUUUCCAAGCAAAAAUCUUCAACUUCUCGGUUCGUACGUCGUCUGGUCAGCUUGACUCGAUAGAGGAAUUUGAGACUUGGCGGCUCUCUAUAGGAAUGUGAGACGAAGAAAAGAAUUCAUAGUGAACUAGAGUUCAUUUACAUGCAACAUAAAUAAAAGGAUAAAAUUAAUACAUAAUUUAACUAUUGUAGCAUAGGGAAAACAAGUUAACCAACUAGAAAACAUUCAUUCAUUCGGGAAAAAAUAGUAAAUUGACAAAUAGUCUUAUUUAAAAGAAACAUACAUGUGCAUAUAUAUAGCCAGACCUUUCUUUUUAAAAAUAUAAAUAAAUAGAGCACAACAUGCAUCUACAGAAUUGUGAUCAUUAAUAGUACCCAUGCGAGAUGACAAGGAUACAGCAACUAAGCUAAGAGCACUAAUUACAAUGAGCCUAAGCGACCAUAUAUUUUAUAAUAACAAAAUACAUAUUUACCAAAAACUAAGGAUUUUACAAAAACAUAAACUAAAAGAAAUUGCAGUAGAAUAACAUGACAAAGGGGAGUGAGGAUAAAAGGGGUUAUAAAUAACAACUAGAGAGAGAAUCGAUCAACAUUAUUUAUAUAUUCUACGAAAAUCUUAUUACUUAGAGAAUUAGCUAGAGCUAAACAUAGAUAAGCUACCUGGGAACACGUAAUAGCAAAACAUAGGUCACUUGCGGAUGCUACAGGCAAAAAUACCAAAAGAAACAAGGGCCUUAGAGGACCAUACCAUUGAACAAUGGCACCCAAAUCGUAAUGAAAAUAAAGCUGAACGAGAAUCAUACUAAUGUUACGAAACAAGUCACCAUAAGUUAAUAGCAACACAACAAAACACAACCUUCCAGAUUAUAACACUUGAAAGGGCAAAAAGACACUAUAGGCAUCAAACAUGGGGGUUCAAUAGGGAAAAGCGGGACAUUAUACAAUUAAAAAAAAAGACAGUGAGGGCUCAAAAUGGGUGGAAAUAAAUACAUUCCGAGGACUCCUAAAUAGUAGCAAUAUUGACAACUUUUCAAUAAAAGUAAUGAAAUUUCAUAAAAAUAUAUAACAUCAUUAAGACAUACUCACAAGAUGAAAUGGAAAAAAAAUUAUCGUCUAUCUAUGCACUUAACAGUAAUCAUAUUAGGUGAUACCCGAAUUCAACACGUAGAAGCCGCUAAAAUUUAAUAGCAUUACUAUAUGAGAUCUCUUACUGUUCGCUACGAGGAAUCAACAAGACAUAAACUAAUUUCCACACACUAUAAGAAAAUAAAUUAGCAUUAACUAGCUUCCUUGUUUACAAAGAAAAUUCACAAUGUGGCAUAACUAGAUUACGGGAAAUUGGGAAAAUCACUAUACCAUACCCAUGAAAGAUUAACACCAAAGAAAAAAUGCUUUAAAUCACCAUAAACACUAAACUCUCUUGAUACUAUGAUUGGGAAUAUAAAAUAUGAAGCUCAGAGUUUAGGCAACUCGAAUUGCAAAUAUAGGCAUUUUUUACUUAAAAUGAAACAACGUGCAGGCAAAAAAAUUAACUACACUAGUCAUAUUACGUAGUAUGACCACAAGGACAUUUUAAGUAAAAUAUGAAAUUAAGAUAUUGGGACAAAAAUGCUACUGCACUACUAUACUUAGCCAAAUCACUUACUCUCAAAAUUUCAACUAGUCAAAAUCCGAAAUCAUACAAUGAGUUUAUGGCAAGCAAUGAACAACAUGCUCUCCAAAAUUGAUUAUUCAGGAGAUGCAUAACAAAACAGACGUGAACAACAUGUUUUCCUUUGAUUUGUUUAGUCGGAAACCAGCCUUCGAGCACCCAUACAUACAUACUGGAAUCAUAGUCACACAUGAAAGACCAAAGUCUUGAUCCUACGAGGCAUCUUUAUUCUUGCUAAAUUUUCAUAACAAUACAACCGUCUAAAAAAAUCAAAGGAAAACCCAGACUAAGGAAAAGAUGGUAGGAAAAAUGGGAUUAUAUACCUUUUCCGUUACAACAAACAGAGACAGCGAGCUAGCACUUGUAAUCCUUCCACCAUUAAAGUGAAAUCACAAACAAGAAAUCCUUGCGGAAAUUUACAAGUCAAACCAACAACUAGCCUUCUCAGAAACUGGACCGUUUUCUUUGAUGUGUUUUGCAAUAUGUUCUUGCCGUUUUACUUAAAUUCUAUGUAUUUUAUAUCUACAAAUUUUCCUACCUCCCAAAAAUCUCUCUACCCGAAAAUCUUUUCCCAUACUUCCCCCAGCCUCUAUCAAAAAAUUAGAAUGGGAUUUAAACAGCGGAGGUCUUUUGGGAAAAUGGGGGAAAAUCAGGACCAAUUCCAAAUUCAAAUUUUGUAUUAUCUUAAGAGCUAAGGUUGGACAUCUUGGAAUCUAUACAAAAUUGCACAAUUCCUCCAUGGAACAACGAUCUGGGCGCUUGAUUUCGAACAACGAUGAGAAGAUGCACGAGAUCUCGCUAUCCGCAGUGUUCUUCGUACGUAAUUGUACUGGGGGCAGAGAGAGGUAGAAGACACAUGAAAGUAGUUGGUUUUCGUCUAUCU